rnacentral:rRNA from 1 species
CAAGACAUGAAGUUAGGUCAGCAAACCCGCUGAAUUUAAGCAUAUAAGUAAGCGGAGGACAAGAAACUAAAUAGGAUUCCCUCAGUAAUGGCGAAUGAACAGGGAUAAGCUCAGCAUGGAAAUUGGGGCCUCUGGCCUUGAAUUGUAGUCUUGAGAUGGCAUUGCCAGUGGAGGCGCAGAUGUAAGCCUCUUGGAAAAGAGCAUCAAUGAGGGUGAGAGUCCCGUUUGUCAUCUGCAGUCCCCCAUAAACGGUGUGCUUUCUAAGAGUCACGUUCCUUGGGAUUGGAGCGCAAAUUGGGUGGUAAAUUUCAUCUAAAGCUAAAUAUUGGUUCGAGACCGAUAGCAAACAAGUACCAUGAGGGAAAGGUGAAAAGGCUUUUGAAAAGAAAGUUAAAAGUGCCUGAAAUUGCUGAAAGGGAAGCGAAUGGAACCAGUCUUCUGGGCGAGAUUGUUGCGCGCUACUGUGAUUGCCUGCUGCUUCAACGCAAGUGUCGCAGUGGGUUUUGAGCAUGACGUGCGCUUUGUUUCUUGCCUCGUGUGUCAACGUCGGUUCGGACUUGAGGAAAACUCCAGGGACAUGGUAAAUCGCUCGUGGGUGAUUGAAUGUGCUUGGCAGAACUCAUUUCUUAACUGAUUUCUGCAUGUCUGGUCGCAGUGCCUCGUUGCCUGCGCUCGCUGCCUCGGGUCUGGAGCUUCAGCUCUUCCUCGUUGCUUUGAGCCUGGUCGUGUGGCAUCUCCCUGACAUAAGUACGAUGACAAAAUGGUUUCAUUCGACCCGUCUUGAAACACGGACCAAGG